rnacentral:rRNA from 1 species
AGUGAACGCUGGCGGCAGGCCUAACACAUGCAAGUCGAGCGGCAGCGCGGGGGCAACCCUGGCGGCGAGCGGCGGACGGGUGAGGAAUGCGUCGGAAUCUGCCUCUUUGUGGGGGAUAACGUAGGGAAACUUACGCUAAUACCGCAUACGACCUACGGGUGAAAGUGGGGGACCGCAAGGCCUCACGCAGAGAGAUGAGCCGAAGCCGGAUUAGCUAGUUGGCGGGGUAAGGGCCCACCAAGGCGACGAUCCGGAGCUGGUCUGAGAGGAUGAUCAGCCACACUGGAACUGAGACACGGUCCAGACUCCUACGGGAGGCAGCAGUGGGGAAUAUUGGACAAUGGGCGCAAGCCUGAUCCAGCCAUGCCGCGUGUGUGAAGAAGGCCUUCGGGUUGUAAAGCACUUUUGUCCGGAAAGAAAAGCAUUCGGUUAAUAACCGGGUGUCAUGACGGUACCCGCAGAAUAAGCACCGGCUAACUCUGUGCCAGCAGCCGCCGUAAAAC